rnacentral:rRNA from 1 species
GAUGAACGCUGGCGGCGUGCCUAAUACAUGCAAGUCGAGCGAGUGGAUUAAGAGCUUGCUCUUAUGAAGUUAGCGGCGGACGGGUGAGUAACACGUGGGUAACCUGCCCAUAAGACUGGGAUAACUCCGGGAAACCGGGGCUAAUACCGGAUAACAUUUUGAACCGCAUGGUUCGAAAUUGAAAGGCGGCUUCGGCUGUCACUUAUGGAUGGACCCGCGUCGCAUUAGCUAGUUGGUGAGGUAACGGCUCACCAAGGCAACGAUGCGUAGCCGACCUGAGAGGGUGAUCGGCCACACUGGGACUGAGAAGCGGCCCAGACUCCUACGGGAGGCAGCAGUAGGGAAUCUUCCGCAAUGGACGAAAGUCUGACGGAGCAACGCCGCGUGAGUGAUGAAGGCUUUCGGGUCGUAAAACUCUGCUGUUAGGGAAGAACAAGUGCUAGUUGAAUAAGCUGGCACCUUGACGGUACCUAACCAGAAAGCCACGGCUAACUACGUGCCAGCCGCCGCAGUAA